CGGCGUGCCUAAUACAUGCAAGUCGAACGCAUUGUGGUUGAAAUGAUAUGAAGAACUUGUUCAGAUUUGAUUUUCAACAUUGCAAUGAGUGGCGAACGGGUGAGUAACACGUGGGAAACCUACCUCUUAGCAGGGGAUAACAUUUGGAAACAAAUGCUAAUACCGUAUAAUAAUUAAAACCGCAUGGUUUUAGUUUAAAAGAUGGUCUUGCUAUCACUAAGAGAUGGUCCCGCGGUGUAUUAGUUAGUUGGUGAGGUAAUGGCUCACCAAGACAAUGAUACAUAGCCGAGUUGAGAGACUGACCGGCCACGGUGGGACUGAGACACGGCCCAUACUCCUACGGGAGGCAGCAGUAGGGAAUCUUCCACAAUGGACGAAAGUCUGAUGGAGCAACGCCGCGUGUGUGAUGAAGGGUUUCGGCUCGUAAAACACUGUUGUAAGAGAAGAAUGACAUUGAGAGUAACUGUUCAAUGUGUGACGGUAUCUUACCAGAAAGGAACGGCUAAAUACGUG
rnacentral:rRNA from 1 species